AUAGUCACUCAUGUCGUCAUGUCGUCUAGCCUACUGUGUUACAAAUUGAUUAGGCACAUACCCAACAUUAACUCUUCGGCAUAUUCACUGUCCCAACAUGAAUAUCAAGUUGAAUGGAGCCUACUCAUUUCGAUUUUACAUUUACGGCAUCUCCAAGUUUCAUUCUUAUCUUUCUAUCUAACAAAGUUGAUGAUGGAGUCUCCAGCGUUUCAUCUAUCAAGAUUUCCUUGAGCCCCAACACCUAAAUGAGCAAACCUUCUACAACAGUAAUUAAUCGCCUUUACCAUCAAAUCGAUCUAUUUUGAUUUUUCUUUUUCGUCACGCACA